AAUGAACGUUGGCGGCGUGGAUUAGGCAUGCAAGUCGAGCGAGAACCGUAGCAAUACGGGGACAGCGGCGAAAGGGAGAGUAAUGCGUGGAUACCUACCCUCAGGUUCGGGAUAGCUACGGGAAACUGUAGGUAAUACCGAAUAAUAUCUCCGGAUCAAAGGUGUGAUUCCGCCGGCGGAGGGGUCCACGUCCUAUUAGCUCGUUGGCGAGGUGACGGCUCACCAAGGGUGUGAUGGGUACGGGGUGUGAGAGCAUGCCCCCGCUCACUGGGACUGAGACACUGCCCAGACACCUACGGGUGGCUGCAGUCGAGAAUCUUCGGCAAUGGGCGCAAGCCUGACCGAGCGACGCCGCGUGCGAGAUGAAGGCCUUCGGGUUGUAAAUCGCUGUCAGAGGGGAGGAAAUGCCGGUGGGUUCUCCCACCGGUUUGACCUAGCCUCAGAGGAAGGACGGGCUAAGUUCGUGCCAGCCGCCGCAGUAAUAC
rnacentral:rRNA from 1 species